rnacentral:tRNA from 2 species
GCCGGAUGAGUAUUACUCGUACAUCGACUUUUCGCGUCGAAAGUCUUUCUAAAAAUGGAAGAUUCGGUA